rnacentral:rRNA from 1 species
GACGAACGCUGGCGGCGUGCUUAACACAUGCAAGUCGAACGAAGUGGCGAACGGGUGAGUAACGCGUAAUCAAUCUGCCCUUCAGAGGGGGACAACAGUUGGAAACGACUGCUAAUACCGCAUACUGAAGGAGGGGAUUGCGUCUGAUUAGCUAGUGGGGGGGGUAACGGCCAACCAAGGCGAUGAUCAGUAGCCGGUCUGGGAGGGGAAACGGCACCAUUGGGACUGGGACACGGCCCAGACUCCUACGGGGGGCAGCAGUGGGGAAGCUUCCGCAAUGGACGAAAGUCGGACGGAGCAACGCCGCGUGAGUGAGGACGGCCUUCGGGUUGUAAAGCUCUGUUAAUCGGGACGCGGUACCGGAAUAGAAAGCCACGGCUAACUACGUGCCAGCCGCCGCGGUAAUUC